rnacentral:rRNA from 1 species
GGAAUAUUGGUCAAUGGGCGUAAGCCUGAACCAGCCAAGUAGCGUGCAGGAUGACUGCCCUAUGGGUUGUAAACUGCUUUUGCCGGGGAAUAAAGUUGGGCAUGUAUGCCCAUUUGCAUGUACCCGGAGAAUAAGGACCGGCUAAUUCCGUGCCAGCAGCCGCGGUAAUACGGAAGGUCCGGGCGUUAUCCGGAUUUAUUGGGUUUAAAGGGAGCGCAGGCCGUCCCUUAAGCGUGACGUGAAAUGUACGGGCUCAACCGGUGCAGUGCGUCGCGAACUGGGGGACUUGAGUGCACUCGAGGCAGGCGGAAUUCGUGGUGUAGCGGUGAAAUGCUUAGAUAUCACGAAGAACUCCGAUUGCGAAGGCAGCCUGCCAGGUUGUAACUGACGCUAAUGCUCGAAGGUGCGGGUAUCGAACA